GGGGCUUCGGCCCCGGGGACAGCGGCGAACGGGUGAGUAACACGUGGGUAAUCAACCCUCGGCACCGGGAUAGCCCGGGGAAACUCGGAUUAAUACCGGAUAGCCCUUCCGGCCUUCGGGCCGGUCGGAAAAGGUAGCUUAGGCCUCUGGCCGAGGACGAGCCCGCGGCGGAUUAGCUUGUUGGUGGGGUAAUGGCCUACCAAGGCUCCGAUCCGUAGCUGGUCUGAGAGGACGAUCAGCCACACUGGGACUGAGACACGGCCCAGACUCCUACGGGAGGCAGCAGUGGGGAAUCUUGCCCAAUGGGCGAAAGCCUGAGGCAGCGACGCCGCGUGAGGGAAGAAGGCCUUCGGGUUGUAAACCUCUUUCAGGAGGGACGAAGCUACUCGGGUUAAUAGCCCAGAGGGUGACGGUACCUCCAGAAGAAGCCCCGGCUAACUACGUGCCAGCAGCCGCGGUAAUACGUAGGGGGCAAGCGUUGUCCGGAUUUACUGGGCGUAAAGAGCGUGUAGGCGGCCGCACAGGUCUGUUGUGAAAACUGGAGGCUUAACCUCCAGACGUCGACAGAAACCGUGUGGCUAGAGUCCGGAAGAGGAGAGUGGAAUUCCUGGUGUAGCGGUGAAAUGCGCAGAUAUCAGGAAGAACACCAAUGGCGAAGGCAGCUCUCUGGGACGGUACUGACGCUGA
rnacentral:rRNA from 1 species